rnacentral:lncRNA from 1 species
GUCAGUCACUUCUCAAUAAAAUUGGAGAAAUGGUUGGUAACAAAUGCGACGGCUGAAAAGGCUCAUAAAAGGUAAUCAUAAGAGGUAAAGUUAAGGAUCUAAAGUUUUUUUAUGAGACACUAAUUCUCAACUCUUUAAAAAUUUAGUGAGGUCAAACCCAAACCUCAGCAGUGACAAUGCCAGAUCAUAAAAUUUCUUAGAGUCUUCGCAGAAACAAUCUUCCUUGGGCACUAUUUUAACCAUGUCUGGUAUGUUUUGAAAAGAAAUAUCCAUACCAACAGUAUCCAUAAUUUCUGGUUAUAGCUACCACUAAAUUUUUUAAAAGUUGAGAAUUAGUGUGAUCUAAUGCCAUUAGGUAAUUGAUAGUCUUUUGGUAAAGAAUCCAUUUAUGUGGCAUUUCCCCACAAAAAAUAUGUCUUUUUUUUUUUUUUUUUUUCUUUUUCAGAGUGUUUGUUCUCAGAGUUUGUCUGCUGGCUCCUUUACGACUGGAGAACAGGUAGUAAAAGAACUCCAGAGACUUGCCUACAUCAGUGAAAAGAAAGAAGCUGCAAGAAGUCUGACCACUAAGAACAUCGCAAUUACUAUUUUCACUGCCAAUCUUGUAGCACGCAUUCCGUGCCUCUGACUUGAUCUGGGCUCAUUUGAAGGAUAAUGGACUGACUGCUAUCUCAGCAAACUGAUUCCAAAGGUAAUUGUAAUUUAUGAUCUAUAUGUAUCAUCACUAUUUUCUAAACGGGAAAGUGUGAUGAAAGAAUCAAAUCACUGGCAUUUUCUUUUUAAGGUGUCUACUACACUGACAUCUCCAAAAGUAGGCUUUGCCACAUAACUCAUAAGUUUUGGUUAUUUGAUAGAUUUAUAUAAAUGGCAGGUCAAUUACAAUUAUUAUAUCCAUUUAAGAGAAAAGAAAACAAAGGCCAAGGAGUUUGAUUUCCUUGAGCAAUACAGGCCAUGAUAUAGUAAAGGAGUGUGAUGUGGAUGACCUGUUAAAAUUCACAUGUGCUGCAGUGGAUGAUGUCUGUGACUAUGGAAAGAGUAAAUAAAAAGAUUGAUAGAAAUAUCCCUGUCCUUGAU